rnacentral:rRNA from 1 species
AACGAACGCUGGCGGCAUGCCUAACACAUGCAAGUCGAACGAGACCUUCGGGUCUAGUGGCGCACGGGUGCGUAACGCGUGGGAACCUGCCCUUAGGUUCGGAAUAACUCCCCGAAAGGGGUGCUAAUACCGGAUAAUGUCUUCGGACCAAAGAUUUAUCGCCUUUGGAUGGGCCCGCGUUGGAUUAGCUAGUUGGUAGGGUAAAAGCCUACCAAGGCGACGAUCCAUAGCUGGUCUGAGAGGAUGAUCAGCCAGACUGGGACUGAGACACGGCCCAGACCGCGAGGGGGGGGAGGGGGGGAGAGUAUUGAGCAAGGGGCGAAGGCUCAACCACGCAGCGCGGUGGGAGAAAGGAGGCCUUUUGGUUUGAAAAUUCUUUUGCCCCGGAGUGAUAAUGACAGUACGGGGAAAAGAAGCUCGGGCAAACUCCGUG